rnacentral:misc_RNA from 1 species
GAUGAAGAACGUAGCGAAAUGCGACAAGUAAUGUGAAUUGCAGAAUUCCGUGAAUCAUCGAAUCUUUGAACGCACAUUGCGCCCGCCAGUAUUCUGGCGGGCAUGCCUGUUCGAGCGUCAUUUCAACCCUCAAGCCCCCGGGCUUGGUGUUGGGGAUCGGCGUGCCCUCGCGGCGCGCCGUCCCCUAAAUCUAGUGGCGGUCUCGCUGUAGCUUCCUCUGCGUAGUAGCAACACUCGCACUGGAUCGCAGCGCGGCCACGCCGUUAAACCCCCCACUUCUGAAAGUUUGACCUCGGAUCAGGUAGGAAUACCCGCUGAACUUAAGCAUAUCAAUAAGCGGAGGA